AAAGAUAUUUAUAAUUUGAUGUGUAGAUAGAUAGAUUUGACUUAACUUCUCAAAUAAAAUAUUAACAAAAUUCAUGAGACUAAUAUAGAUUAUUAGUCUUAUCCAAAUACUGCUUCAUCUUGAUGAUAAAAAGAUACUCAAGUAAUAGGAAUAGUCAUAAAAUAAAUAAAUAUAUAUAGUCACAUGCCAUCAUUAAUAUAGUUAUCAUCGUAAUCGAUUAGAGUUGUCACCAAUUACUAAAUUGGCAAACACACAUCCAUCUUUGGUUUUCUAUGAAGCCUUGAACGUAAAGUACCUACAUGGUAAAAAAAAUCAUUCAUUAACAGAGUUCAAAUUAACGAUUGUAAUAUAUAGAUUCACCUCUUUGCUUCUCUUGUUCUUUUUUUUGUCAUCUCUUGUUAUUUUUCUUCAAUAUAAAAAAUUGUUUCACCUUCCUUUAAUCAACAUAACGAGUUGAAAAAACAAGAAGAAGAAUGUGCGGAAAUGGUUGUCUUGAGCUACCCUCCUCGUCGUCAUCAUCAUCAUCAUCAUCACAAAUUGUUUUUGUUUGUUUCUUCUGCUUUCUUUCCUUCUUCUUUGCUUUCCGUUUUAUUUUCGAUAUUGGUUGAUGCUAUUAAACUUUACAGUCAUGAAAGAAAGAAAAAAAGAUCAUCAUCGCAAAUUGUUUUUGUUUGUUUCUUCUGCUUUUUUUUCUUCUUCUUUGCUUUCCAUUUUAUUUUUGAUAUUGGUUAAUGCUAAUAAAUUUUUUGUUUAUUUUUUAUUUUCCCAUGUAUACCACUUUUACAUAUUUUUUUGUUUGACAAUAAUUAAAAAAAUAAUGUAAAAGUGGUUUGCAGCUUCUAUAUAUAUAUAUAUAUAUAUAUAUAUAUAUAUAUAUAUAUAUAUAUAUUUAACAUGAAGAAACAAUUCGAGCGUUAUUGAAAUUGUAGGAUCAAUCAUACCUUGUAAUUGCUAAAACCAC
rnacentral:sRNA from 1 species